CUACUGCACCCAAAAUUUUUCUUAAUCCAACAUCGAGGUCGCAAUCUGCUUUGUCGAUAUGAGCUCUCAAAAACAAUUACGCUGUUAUCCCUAAGGUAACUUAAUCAUAUGAUCAUAAAUUAUGGAUCAAAACAACAAACAUAAAUAAAUGAUAUAAUAAUGAAGAGUUUAUUUAUUCUUCAUGUCA